AACGGUCGUACCAUGCUGAAUAUACCGGUUCUCGUUAGAUCACCGAAGUCAAGCAUCAUUGGGCGCGGUCAGUACUUGGGUGGGUA